CCUACGGGAGGCAGCAGUGGGGAAUCUUGCGCAAUGGGCGAAAGCCUGACGCAGCCAUGCCGCGUGAAUGAUGAAGGUCUUAGGAUUGUAAAAUUCUUUCACCGGGGACGAUAAUGACGGUACCCGGAGAAGAAGCCCCGGCUAACUUCGUGCCAGCAGCCGCGGUAAUACGAAGGGGGCUAGCGUUGCUCGGAAUUACUGGGCGUAAAGGGAGCGUAGGCGGAUAGUUUAGUCAGAGGUGAAAGCCCAGGGCUCAACCUUGGAAUUGCCUUUGAUACUGGCUAUCUUGAGUGUGGGAGAGGUAUGUGGAACUCCGAGUGUAGAGGUGAAAUUCGUAGAUAUUCGGAAGAACACCAGUGGCGAAGGCGACAUACUGGCCCAUUACUGACGCUGAGGCUCGAAAGCGUGGGGAGCAAACAGGAUUAGAUACCCUGGUAGUCCACGCUGUAAACGAUGAGUGCUAGUUGUCGGCAGCAUGCUGUCGGUGACGCAGCUACGACAUUAAGUACACUCCGCCGUGGGAGGUACGGUCGCGAGAUUAAACUACGAAAGGAAGUUAGACGGCGUGAGACGUGCCGACGGACGACGACGAGGGAGGUAGG
rnacentral:rRNA from 1 species